AAGUAAAAUUUUAUUGGAACACAGUGAUAUCUUUUUGUUUACAAAUUGUCUGUGGCUGCUUUCAUGCUGCAAAAGCAGAAUUUAGUAGUUAUGACAGUGACUGUAUGGCCCAAGGUAGUUCCCAACUGACCCUUGACAAGAAAGUUUGACAUCCUUUAAACUAUUACUUUACUGCUUGGACACGUUGAACAAGUCCUUUAUGAGACACUCUCUUCAGCUCUAAAGCAGAAUUAAUGGCACCAGCCUUGUGAGAAAGUAGUAUCUUGUAUGUGAAAAUUGUGUGGAAACUAAAAUGGUCUACUGUGUAGCAUCAGUUGCUUUUUCUCCAACAUGCUAUUAAGAGAAUUUGCAAAUGUAUUUUAAAAAGUUAAGUAUACAAUGAAUACUUAUUUUACCCACCACCUGGAGUCUAAUACUUAACAUUUUGCUGUAUUUGUUUUAUUGUCCAUAUAUCCAUCUGCCAAUCUCUCUAUCCACCCAUUAAUCCAUCUUAUUUUUUAGUUAUGCGUUUCAAAGUAAGGUGUUGACAUCAGUACAACUAACUAGAGAUCAAAGUUUAUUUUCGUUAGGUAAGAUGUUCUUACAGUGGAAUGCUCAGCAUGUAAGUGGUGGGUUUUCAUAAGUGAGCCUGGUUGAGAUGUAAAACAUUACUGUCACCCCAGAAAGUUCCCUCAUGCCCCUUUCUCAGUCAAUUCCCACCCCACCAUGCUCCCCAAGGCAACUCCUAUCCUGAUCUUUUUCACUCAGUAUUAUGUCUGAGACUCAGUGUAUUGUUGUGUCUAACAGUAGCUUGUUGCUCUAUGUUGCUGAGUAAUAUUAAUUUUAUGAACACACCAUAGUUUAUUCAUUCACCUGUUGAUGGAUACCUGGUCUUUCUCUGGUUUUUAAUUAUUGUGAAUAAAUCUGCUUUGAACAUUCUGAUACAGAUCUUUUGUGGACACUUGCUUUUUUAAAUCUCUUGCAUAACCAUCUGGGAGUGGAGUGAAGUCAAAAGGUUGUUUUACCAGAAACUGGGAAACCUUUUUUCCAAAGUGGUGGUACAAUUUCACACCCCUACUAACAACAGGUUAGUGUUCUGAUUGUUGCACACUCUUGCCAAAAUUUGAUGGUAUCCAUCUUUUUAAUUUUAGCCUUUCUGGUAGAUGAGAUAGUGGUAUCUCAUGGUGGAUUUAAUUUGUAUUUUCCUGAUGACUAACAAUGAUGAGCAGCUUUUGUGUAUUGGUCAUUUAUAUGUAUCUGGCAAAGUUGAAUUACUGUAUAGUAUAAAGCAAGGGUAGAAGUUAUUAUAAUCCAUACAGGUAUGUGGUCACUUUAUUCAGUUUGUUCAAAAGACAUUCUUUUCCUUGUUGAGUUGCUUUGUUCCUUUACUAUAAAUAAAUCAAAAUUAUAAGUGCAGGUCUAUUUUUGUUCCAUUGAUCUACUUGUUUAUGUUAACACCAGUACCAUACUCUCUUGAUUACUGUGAGUUUAUAGUAAAUCUUACAUUCAGGUAGUGUAAGUCAUCCAACUUUAUUUUUAUUUUCAAGAUUACUUUAGAUACUCUAGGUCCUUUACAUUCUCAUACAAAUGUUUCAGUAACUUGUCUAGUUUUUUUAAAAACCUGGUGGAGUUAUGAUAGGGAUUUCAUUGACUCUAUGGAUCUGAGGAAAACUGAUAUUUUAACAAUGUUGGGACUUGACAGUCGAUGAAUGGGGACUAUUUUUAUGUUUAUUUAGGUCUUUAAUUUCUCUCAACAGUGAUUUCAAUGUAGUUUUAAUGUGGAGGUUUUGCAUGUUUUUCAUUAGCUUUAUUCCUAAGUAUUUUAUGGAUUUUGGUGCUUUUAAAUGUGGGAUUUUCUAUCUUAUUUUUUUUGAAGUUUUAUUUAAAUAUAGUUCAUUUACAAUAUUGUAAUAAUUUCUUCUGUAUAACAAAGUGAUUCAGUUAUUCAUAUGCACACAUCCAUUCUUUUCCAAAUUCUUUUCCCAUAUAGAUUAUCAUAGAAUAUUGGGUAGAAUUCCCUGUGCUAUACAGCAGAUCUCCAUUGGCCAGUCAUUCCAUAUACUACAGUGUACCUAGGCCACUCUAAAAUUUCAUUUUCCAGUUGUUUAUAGCAAGUAUAUAAAAGACAGUUGAUUUUUUGUGUAUUGAUCUUGUAUCCUGAAACCAGGCUAAAUUCAUUAUUCAUUUUAGGAGUUGCUUUGUCAAUUCCUUAAGAUUUUCUGUGUAAAUAAUCAUGUCAUCUGUGAAAAGAAUUAUUUUUACUCUUCCUUUCCAAUCUUUAUGACUUUAUUUCUUUUCUUCCCCUUAUUGUUACACUGGCUAAGAUCUUCUGUAUAAUAUUGCAUAGAAGCAAUAAGUGUGGACAUGCUUACCUUUUCUUUACUCUUAGCCAGAAAGCAUUCAUUAUUUCACCAUUAUGUAUCAUAAUAGCUUUUGUAGGUUUUUCACAGACUUUUAAAAAAUCAUAUUGAGGAAAUUUCCUUCAGUUUCUAAUUUGGUGAGGUUUUUUAAAAAAAUAUCAUAGGUGGGUGGAAUUUUGUUAAAGGGAUUGUCUGCAUUUGUUGAAAUGAUCAUAUAGAGUUUUUUCCUCUAUUAGUUAUUAGGAUAAUUGUUUUCCUUGAAUUUUUUUGAAUAUUAAAUCAAGUUUACAUUCUUGGAAUUAAACCUACUCUGUUGCUAAAAUCAAUUUUGCUAAUAUUUUCUAAAGGAUUUUUGCAUUCAUUUUGGUGAGAAAAAUCAUUCUAUCCUGUUUUUCGUUGUUAAUUUCUUUGUUAGGUUUUGGUAUUAAGGUUAUGCUGGCCUUAUAAAAUGAGUUGAUUCUCUACCUCCGCUGUUUUCUGAAACAGUUGGUAUAAUAUUGAUGUUUGUUCCCUAAACGUUUGAUAGAAUUCACUAGUGAAACCAGAUGGAUGUGGAGUUUCCCUGUGGGAUGGUUUCAUGUGAAUUCAGUUUCUUUAAAAGAAACAAUAAUCUGUUAAGAUUUUCCUUUUCGUCUGGUGUUAAGUUUUGAUAAGUUGUAUUUUUUAGAGAAAUUUGUCCAUUUCACCUAAAUUUUCAGUUUAUUGGUGUUUAUAAUAUUCACUUACCUUUCAUUUUAUUUAUUUUUUGGGGGGUUGCAAAUGGAGAUUUCCAGGCUAGGGGUCAAAUUGGAGCUGUAGCCUUUGGCUUAUGCGACAGUCACAUCAACACCAGAUCUGAGCUGCAUCUGUGACCCACAUGACAGCUCACCACAAUGCCAGAUCCUUAUGGAUGCUAGUCAGAUUCAUAUCCACUGAGCCAUAACUGGAACUCCCUCACUUACCUUUUAAAUAUCUCUGGACUUUGUAGUGAUAGUCUCUCUUUCAUUCUUAGUAUUUUUGAUUUGUCUUUUCUUAAUUUGUUGAAGUAUAGUUGAUUUACAAUGUUGUGCCAAUUUCUGCUAUAUAGCAAAGUUACCCAGGCAUAUAUAUAUGUAUAUAUACAUACAUAUACCUUCCCUUUCUUAUGUUAUCUGUAUUUGUGAUUUGUUUUCUCCGACUAUUCAGGUAUCAGUUACUUAGUCUGUGUAGCACACCACCCCAAACUUCAUGCCUUAAAAGAACUAACCCAGGCUUGUUUACCUGGUGACUCAUCAUCGUCCUAGAGAGAAGGGAAGUAUGGACAUCCUCUUAAGGUCUAGGUAGAGUUCACAUGUGAUUUUUCCCCACAUUCUUUUGACCAAAGUAAGUCACAAGAACAACUCAGAGUUAUAAGGUGGAAAAACAGACCUACCACUCAUUCCAAACAGCUGUGGGGCAGGGGAGAAAUAGCACCAUUUUUGCAAUCUCCCACCUCUUAAGGUGUAUUAUUACAGAACAACUGUUGUGGAUUUGGCAAGUGUUGUGUAAAUAGUCUGGUUUUAACAAUAUUGUGAUACAAUAGUCUUUGUACAGCUUUCUGCAUUUUGUAGAACAUUAAGUUCUUUGAUGUCUCAUCAAAAGCAAUUCUUUUUCUCCCAUUAAUACUUCAGAAGAUUUUUGACUAUUGAUGUGUUUUUGUUUUAAAAGUCAGUAUGUAUUUGACUAUCUACACGACCCUAAACCUAUAGGGAUCAAGAUAUAUUUAUUUUUUUCUUUAUGGCCACACCCAUGGCAUAUGGAAGUUCCCAGGCCAGGAACUGAAUCUGAGCUGCAGCUGUGACCUGUGCCACAGCUGCAGCAGUGCUACAUCCUUUAACCCACUGUGCUGGGCUGGGGACAGAACCCGAGCUUCUGCAGUUGGAUUCUUAACCCACUACGCCAUAGUGGGAAUUCUACAAACUAUUUUUUGAUUCAUAAUAUUUUAGGAAUUCAAAAUGUGGCACUCGUAAAAAUUAUCAUGGAUGUGUUGACUUUGGGCUUAAAAAUAGCCCAGGUCUGAAAUAAUUCCCAUUUGUAGAUAAAUUUUAAGUAAAAUGAAAAGUAGUCAAUUUACCUAGCAUAUGUAAUAUAUUUCACUAGGUUUCUCAUCCUAUCUGUCAAUAGAGAAAUUCUUGGGCACAGAAAAUUUAAGUGGAGUUGGGAAUGGGAUAACAGAAAUACCAUUUAAUUAUAUCAAUCCCUAAGUAUAUAUUUCAGCCUAGCUGUUAAGUCAGACUUGUUUUACAUUUCCAGAAAUCUACUUCUAGGAAUUGAUUCUAUGUAACUCAUGCAAGUGUGAAGUCAUCUGGUGAUAAGUGGUCAUUUACAGCAUUGUUUCUCUCAUGGAAAAAUUGGAGGCAAUCUAAAUACCUGAUAGAGAUUGAUUUUUUUUUUUUAAUAGGGGGAUUUCCUGUUAUGGCUCAGCAGGUUAAGAACCUAGCAUAUUGUCUGUGAGGAUGUGGGUUCAAUUCCUGGGUUCAGCUGUGUGGGUUAAGGAUUCGAUAUUGCCAUGGAUGUGGUGUAGGCCUGCAGCUGCCGCUCUGAUUCGACCCUUAGCUUGGGAACUUCCAUGUG
rnacentral:lncRNA from 1 species